AAGUCGUAACAAGGUUUCCGUAGGUGAACCUGCGGAAGGAUCAUUAACACGUAUCCAAACGUUAAACCCCCCUGUGAACCUUCAGUCGUACUCGUACGUCCGUUAGAAAAAGCAGCAAUCCCUGGUAAAUCAUCGCCGAACAGUUUUCGAUUCAGGGACGUCUGCAAGGAGCGUGCAUGUUGUGCGUGUAAGUGGCCUGGCAUCCCCAAGCAGUUAGUGUCUGAAAGUGUCACUAACGUUAGUGUCUGUCACUAACAUGUGUAAGGAUGACGCAGUCACGAUCGUUGGAGGCCCACACGGCCGACGACCGGGUCACUGGGUGCAAGCCCCCUUAUCACACCCCUGCUCUAUCUAUGGUGAUCCUGCGCCGAAACCGAACAACUGUUAACAAUGGAUAUCUUGGUUCUC
rnacentral:misc_RNA from 1 species